GUUCCCUAAUCCACGUGGGAAGGAGCAAUAAUGGCUUCCAGAAAACUCAUAGCAAGUGGGGGAGACCACAUCAGGAGGUGGAGGGUGGGGACAGUGACCAGUUAUCAACGAUUUUGUCUGGCCAAAGACAGUGGGCUUUCCUCCAUCAACAAUGAGCGCCAAACCCAUCAGCCAUCCUGGAUGGGACCACAGCCUGCUGAGACUGAGUCUUCUGAGAACAUGAAGCCUUUCAAUGUUGGCAGGACCAAGGCCAGAGGUGAAGGCCCUGCGACCUAUCAUGUUUGAGAAAUGUCAUAAGUCCUCUAAAGAGGAUUUCAAAGAAAAGAUGCUUGGAAUUCAAAGGAAGUAUGUUGGCAGAUAAAUAUAAUGGCUGACCACAAGCUAAAUUAUCUGAGGGCCACGUGCUGAUGUAUGCAUUCACCAUUCCUUUACUCAAGAUACCUGACAGCAAAUGUGCAGGUUUCCCUGCACCAACUGGUGACCAAUUCUCCAUCUCCCAGGACACCAAAUGUCCAAUGACUCAACUCUGUCAAUGCAUGAAGCACAGACCUGACGUGGAAACCUAAGAGUUCUUUGGAAAGUCAGUUGCGUCGGAUGGUGCUUUGCUGGGACAAAUACGUGAAGGGAAUGUGUGUUCCUGAAGUGGACUCAGGUGAAAGGAGCUUUUCUUCUCUUCUCUUUUCUUUUCUUUCUUUCUUUUUUUUUCCGAGACAGGGUUUCUCUGUGUAGCCCUGGUUGUCCUGGAACUCACUUUAUAGACCAGGCUGGCCUCGAACUCAGAAAUCCACCUGCCUCUGCCUCCCAAGUGCUGGGAUUAAAGGCAUGCGCCACCACUGCCCGGCCGAAAGGAGGUUUUCUUAAAUUGGAUGAGUGAAGGAACAUUUCUCUGAAGUGGAUACGGAUGAAAGGAAGUUUCACUAAGGCAGACUCGAGAAGGAACGUUUCACUGAAGCAGACACAGGAGAGAGGAUGUUCUGCUAAAGCAAGCACGUGAAAGGACAUGAGAUGAAGGAUUCUUCCCUAACGACAUUGCAUUGGUCUGCUUACAUUGCGUGGUUGAGCUCCAUUUGUCAGGUCUCCAUAGAAAUGCACCAAAACACUUCUGGUGGUGUGUUGCAGCUUCUUGCCACUUUUCAAGGACCCAGGCUGAUUGGCAGAGUGAUGUCAGCUGAGACAGACGCACGUGCACUGACAGCAAAUGUGCAGGUUUCCCUGCACCAACUGGUGACCAAUUCUCCAUCUCCCAGGACACCAAAUGUCCAAUGACUCAACUCUGUCAAUGCAUGAAGCACAGACCUGACGUGGAAACCUAAGAGUUCUUAGACCCGGGGAGGGCAGGUGAUAUUUGGAGGGAGUAUAAAAAAGGACAGUGAUGGAGUCUGGGCUUGGCUUGCUUAUAGAGCUAGCUGUGCCAUGCUGGUCGCAUCUUCACUGAGCUGAGGGAUGCACUGCUGAAAACUUCUGGUAUUUCUCUGGGUCCCUUCUGCUGACUCGUGCUAAGGUCUGGCUGUUCCCGCUAGGUCAUGGUCAUGUCAUCUCUGCUACUAUCCCAACACUACUGAGUUGGAUUGCUGAUGUAUCCGUGAACUGUUUGCGAGUGGAUCGAGCUGCCGCUGCCUGCUAAUCUGUGAACUGAACCGCGGAUUUCCUGACAGUGCAGAUGAGACUUGCUCCAAAGAACCAUUUCUAAACAGGUACAUCGAGGACCCUGGGGACCUGUUCAGAGGACUGAAGCAGCAAUACAAACAGUGAAGUAGCAAAGGAUAUAUUCAUGCAGCCCAACCAGGCUAAAUCAGCCCGCUGCCCUAGGUCCCUGAUACCUUCUAGUAUAUAAAGAGAUAAUUACUAGGGACAUUAGUGAUACAUGUGUUUACCAGGCUGGUCUUUUACACAGACAGACAUGUGCACAGCUCAUGAAAGAUGAAGUCCAAGUAUGCUACGGGCUUUGGUAGGAACAGAUGUGUGUAUUGCAAGCCAAGCAGCAACCUAGGAUGCCAAGGCCAGUGAAGGACAAUGUGUGUGCAUUUGCUACUUGUGUGUGUGUGUGUGUGUGUGUGUGUGUGUGUGUGUGUGUGUGUGUGUGUAUGUGUGUGUAAGCACAUGUGGAGGUCAGCAGAGGACAAAUCUCUGUGUGUAGCCCUGGCUGGCCUCAAACUCAAGAGAUUCAACUGCCUCUGCCUCCCUAGUGCUAGAAUUAAAGGUGUGGACUACAAUGCCCUGUAAAAGCAUUCUUGGAACAGCUUCUUCAAUUAAAAAUGAAAUUCCUCUAGAUCUCAGACCGAGUUUAAAGUUAGAACAAUAGCCCCCAGAACAGGAAGAGUCAGAAUGGGAGGCAGCUGUGAAAGCCACAGCUAACACAAGGCCUCUCUCUCCUUCCCGGCUGCUCAUCAGACGCAACCAGCUCAUCUCAGUUCACAUCCAUGCUCCUUUUCUCUACAGGGGCUGACGUGAAAUCUGCAUCUUCUGGUGCUAAAAACACAGACUGAAAUAGCAUAGCCACUUGCAGAAAAAGGUUUUGCAGGGCGGGUCUAGGUUCAACUUCCAGUACCAGCACCAAACACAAAAAUUAUAAUUCCUUGAAGUUACCAUCUGACCCAACAAUUCCACUCCUAGUUAUGGUCCUAAUGGAAAUGAACAGAUAGGCACAGAAAACCUUACACAGUGUCCAGUACACUGUUCAUUUGUCAACCCAGUGUCUAUCAACUGAAGAAUGCAAACCAGAUACACAUCUACUGAAGGCAUGUUACCCGUCCAUAAGAAAUGAACAAACUUUGAUGAAUGCUACAACAUGGAUGAACCCUAGACAAACUAAAUGAAAGCAGCCAGUUACAGAAGUCAGCAUAAUAUAUGCAGUCAUGCAUAUGAAAAGUUUAGGAUGCGUCGGCUGAAAUGACAGAAGGUAAAGCCAGAGGCUGGGGGAGGGAAGAAAGGAAAAAGAUGGGGUCUUUUUCGGAGGGAUGGGAGUCCACAAGAUUGAACCUGGGACUUCAUGAGUGCCUGAGAGAAACUCUACAGCUGAGCUGCAGCAAGAAAGCAUCUUAAAUUUAGACAGCGAUGGGAGCUGACACUAUGCAUGCUGACGUCCAUGUAACGUGUACUGUGAAUGAACUGUGUGCAUACGAGCUAUUAUCUCAGUAAGACUUGGUGUUUUGUAUUUAAGACAGGACCUUGCUAUGGAGUCCACAUGCCACUGUGCCCAAGAGAAGACACUCAAAGUUUCCAAGUUGAGCAGACUCACCGAAACACUAGCAAGAUGCUUGAGUGGCUUACAUAAUGUAACAUCUGGGAAGUAGGAAUCUAAAACAAUCAUGGUCAAAACUGUUCCUCUAAUGAAUUUUACUCUUCACAGGCCAAUCUCGGUGUUAGUAGGGCAGAGUUCUUCAUUUUAAUGGGCCGGGAUUGAAACCAAGGCCUUACCUAUGGCAGGGAAAGCCCCUUAAGUUUCUGACUCCAGGAUCUUAUUGCAUGGCCCAGGGUUCUUCGUGUCUCCCCAGAGUGCAAGGACUAUGGUGCAUGUAGAGCUACUCCUCCUCUGUCACAAUUGGUCAAACUACACAAUCCAACACUUUUUAGACAGAUUUCUUCAAAUUCUGUUUUUCCAUUAAAAUUGUGUAAUUUUAGUACUGAGUAGAACUUGCAAUGAAUUAUGUCUGUUUUUCUGUUACUCCUGCUUACACCCCAGUCCUGGAGGGGCAGCAGUUAACAUGUAAACAGUUAUCAAAGAACUAGACUCUAGGAGGAAAUGAGGCACAACACCCAAUGCGUUCAGACAACAGUUUAUUAAAGUAACACCAGGUUUACAGAGUAACACACACACAGCAGUGGAAGCGGCACAGAGGUGCUGUGCACAGCACAGGCACUUACCUCCCUCAGCAGCUCACGGAGUGUCUCUCCUCUUCUGCACAAAGAAAACUCUGUUUCUAAAAGAAUUCUAGGGAAAGUCUCAGCAGUCAGUUGACCGUGUUUUAACAGCGAAAGACAAACUCCUCCCCUGUCCCGAGUCCACAUUCUAAAGAGAAAGUGCCCCCUUGUUCCAGAUCUUUUAAGUCUGUGCCUGGGGAAAGGAGGAGGUUAGUAUGCGAACUGAACGUCUUAAGAGAGACCGGCUUAGAGUCAAAAAAGGAAUUUCUGACUUUGAAAACCCCAAGCUACUGCUACAUUAAUUAACUUUCAUCACUAAUUGGACAUUCCUACUUUCUCUUCCUUCCUUUUUGUUUUCUUUUUGAGUGCUAACUGUGCAGCUCUGGAUAGCUUGGAACUUGCUAUGAAGAGCAGGCUUGUCUUGAGCAUCAAGUGACCUGCCUGCCUCUGCCUCCUGAGCAUAAAAAGGUGUGCUGUUACACCUGGCAGUUCUUUCUUUCUUUUUUUAAACAAAUACAAGUUUUUAUUACGAACCUGAAUGUUUUGGGGGUACUUACUGCAGGUACUACACAUGUAUUAUCAUAACCAAAUAAAGAGUGCAUGUUCUGCCUGUGUUCAAAUAUUGUUCCUACAUCACUGUUACACAUACUCAGGUCAAUUUUGUUAGCUUCUCUGCUGGUCUUGAAAUAUUACAUGUAAGACUCUUAUAGUCCCUGAAACAAGAAAGAUCUAGAAAAUGUUACCCAUACAAACCCACAUAGGCGUGCGUGUGUCCAUUGUAGGAGACUAACAGAUGGUGCAAGGCUGGCUUCAAGCUCUUGAUACUCCUGCCUCAGCCUCUCGAGUGCUGGAUUACAAGUGUACAACUCACAUUGCUAGACAUUCCAUUUAGAAUGUGUAGUCAGGUUAGCAUAUGUAGGGUAGAUUGCUAGUAAAACAUUUAGCCACUCCCUUUUUUUUGGGGGGAAGGGGAGUUCGAGACAGGGUUUCUCUGUGUAGCCCUGGCUAUCCUGGAACUCACUUUGUAGACCAGGCUGGCCUCGAACUCAGAAAUCCGCCUGCCUCUGCCUCCUGAGUGCUGGGAUUAAAGACAUGUGCCACCAUGCCCAGCCUAGCCAUUUCCUUUUUAAUCAGAUUUUGAUUCCUUAAACUAAAAUCUCUGUACUUUAUAAAUCAAAAUGAGUUUCUCAAGGUCAUGACCCCUGUACUAGUUUACUUCCCAGGCCUG